GUCCACGCUGUAAACGAUGUCAACUAGAUGUAGGGGGUGUUGAUCCCUUCUGUGUCGCAGCUAACGCAUUAAGUUGACCGCCUGGGGAGUACGGUCGCAAGAUUAAAACUCAAAGGAAUUGACGGGGGCCCCGCACAAGCGGUGGAGUAUGUGGUUUAAUUCGAUGCAACGCGAAGAACCUUACCUGGUCUUGACAUCCCAGAGAUCCCUUGGAAACUUGGGAGUGCUUCCAUUAGGAAGAAUCUGGAGACAGGUGCUGCAUGGCUGUCGU
rnacentral:rRNA from 1 species